CACAACAAACGCGAAAAGUUGCAAUUUCUGGCGCUGGUUUUCCUUGCACUUCGCAGCAACGAAGUAGGCGUGCAGGAAUUUGCGUACGCAGCGACGCCAGCAGCAACAGCAACGCCAGCAGCGAAAAGUGUAGCAACCGAAAUUAGUAGUAGACAAAACGGAGCAGCUGCUUGUGGCAAAAAUGCCGUGCUUAUUAAUUAAUUAACUAAAUUAACAAGUGAAAGGAAAGCCAAAAAGAGAGAUAAUAAUAAAAUAGGUGUAGUCCCAAAUUCAUCACAACAAAAAGAAUCGCUGCCAUUCAAGUUGGCCAGGCUUAAUAUGACAUCAUACGCAAAUGACACAACGGCUACGUCGGCAGCGACAACAGCAGCAGCGACAGCAACAGGAGCAGCAAACGCAACAGCAGCAGCAGCAGUAACAACAAACGCAGCCUCAGCAGCAACGCCAACUACGACUGCAGUCGACAAGCAAAUGUCCAGCAACAACAACAAUAGGAGCAGUCGCUAUGACGAAGAUGAUGGGCAAGAGAAAGCCGACACGACGCCCGAGAAUAUCAAGAAGAUUGCCGAGAUCAUAAGCGACAACGAGAAGGAGCAGGAGAAGCAAAAGGAGCAGGAGAAGGAGAAACAGGCAGCCGAAGCAGAAGCAGCGACGUCAGGGUCAGCUGCGCAGCGACUGCAGCAGCAGCAGCAAGUGCAUGCAUCGAGCUUAAUAGGACUUGGUGCUGCCAUCGAUGAGUCAAACACAAAGUUCUGUUUGGGCAAACCGCCGCCAUCGCCGGCCGAAAAAGCGGCUGUGCUGAGCCGAGCAGCGAAUCAUCAACACAGCAGCAACAGCAGCAGCAGCAGCCACAACAAGAGCAACAACAGCAACAACAACACGGAAAACUCUGCUGCGGAUGAAGACGAUUCGACGGCAUCGAAUUCGACAUCCACCAAACAGGCGCUCUCCUUCACCAUUGAUCAUUUCGAUGCGUCUGCGAAUGAUGCAGCUGUGCAGGCGGCACGCUACAAGACAAUGAUGGAGCGCUUUCAGAGUCGCCACAGACGUGGCGCCUCCAUGUCCAAGCUGGAGAAUGGCGAGCCCAGCAACGAUGAUGCCUCAGUGCCGGCCACGCCUACCAACGAACAAGCAACAGGAGCAGCAGGAGCAGGAGCAGCACCCGCUGUCAAGUUGCGUGUACGCGAACGGAGCGCGUCACGCGUUCGAGACGCCGCCAAGCGGCACAGCUGGUCGCCGCGCAGCUCGAGCACAGCAGCUGGCGUAGCAGCAGUGGCAGAGCCAAAACCAGCAGCCCAAAGGGCCGCAGCCAGCAAGUCCAAGCCAACGCCCAAAGGCACCGCCAAUCUCGUGGCGAAUCGCAGCAAUCAAUUUACGCCCAGAUCGACGGCGAUGCAGUUGGCGCUGCAGCAGGUGGAGCUGCUCUGCCCGCAUCCGCCGCUCGACGACCUAAAGGGGAUGGGGGCGGGCGAGUGUGGGGGUGUGGAUGGCGAGGAUGCUAUCAGCGAGGCUGGCACCUAUACGCUGGAUGGCGACAACUACACCGAGGAGCAAAAGGAUCUCAUGAACAUCGAUCGCAGCGCCAAAUUGCGACCUAAACAGCUGUCGGUCAAGCCAAGCCGGCCGAGCAAUGUGCUCGAGGUCAACUACUAUCACGAGACGCCGCAGCAGGAGCAGAAGGGCAGCAGCAACACGGCCAAUGCCACCGGCGCCUAUCUGCAGCAGCUAAAGUCGCGUGUUGUGCUGCGCCCGGCACCGGCGCAGGCGCCACUAACGCCACCAUCGCCGCCCCGUUCACCGGCGGCCGAUGUGGGCUGCUUUACCAGCGUCACGACCAGCGGUGUGCUGGCCAAACAGCGUGCGUUGGACACGCAUCCCAAGCAGACGCGGCACACGUCGCACAGUCUGUCCACGUCACAGAUCGAUAGCUCCGAGUAUGUGAGCAAUGAGGCCAAGCUGCGGCAUGCCCAGGCCAUGUCGAUGGCGGGCAGCGCCACAGAUCGCCAGAAGGCCGAGUAUCGCUUGAAUGUCUUCACCAGCAGCAACACACAGCAGCAGCAGCAGCAACAGUCGCAUCUGCAUCAUCAGCUGCCCGAGACGCCAACGACGCCCACCACGGAGGCAGUGCGGCUGCAGUCGGCGCCAACCAAGCAGGACUGGAUUCAGGAGUGGGCACGCAAUGCCCGCGCUCGCAGCCUCGCACAGGAUGUCAGCAGCAGCUCGGCCAGCCGCAGGCAGCAACAGCAACAAGCCCAGGCUCAGCUGAUGACACGGAGCUACAACUGCUCGGAUACGGGAGCGGAUUCGCUGACGGACGACAGCCUCAGUUUGUACAGCCAGCAGCAGCGACAAUAUGCAGCGGCUGCCAAACUGAAUCGCAGCCUGGCCGAACGGUAUCGGCUGCUGGGUGACUGUGACUACGCGAGCGAUCCGGCGCUGUGCAGCCAUGGUGGUCCGGGUCUGUUAAGCCAGGGUGAGCCAUAUAAGCCACCAAAGAGCCCCAGUAAGAUACCAUCGCCGCUGCACACGUUGGGGCGUGCGCGCAGUGCCAGCCGCUCGCGACCGGCCUUGGAGCAGAUGCCGUCGCAGACGAAUUCGCGUCGCAGUUCGGUUAAUAAAUCGCCGGCGGCUCAGUGCAGUCCACAGCAUAGUUUGGAGACGACGGCGGCGGGUGGCUAUCGUCGAUCGCCGCUGCAUCGUGCUCUGAUGACCAGCAGCAUCAACGAGGCGCAGCUGCAGCUGCUGACCAGCGGUGAUUAUCUGCUGAAGCAGCUGCAUCGCCGCAAGAACUCUCUGGACGAUGUGGAGCAGCAGCACCACGAGCACGAGUUGCCGGCGUCGCAACUGUGCGGCGGCGGCGGCUCCAUAUCGCCGCUGCGUCGCUCCAGCUCCUUCCAGCAGCAGAAUCGAACGCUGCAAGCGAUGCAGCGGCAGGCGCGACCCAAUUUUCAAAAUCUAUACAUGCCGCCAGCAGCGCGUCACAUGCAACACCAGCAGCAGCAGCAACAGUUGCAGCUGCAACUGAAGAAAUCGGCGAGCAGCAACAAUUUUGAGCAGUCUUCGUACAGCGACUACGACAAUGAGCUGCAAUACUACAUCAACGAUGAGGAUGAGCUGGGCACCACCGGCCCCUACUACUCCAGCGGCGAUGAGGAGGAGUUCGAGCAGCACUUGCAGCACCAGCAGCAGCAGCAACAGUCGACGCACAACAACAACAGCAACAAUAACACGGAAGCAGCUGUGCCGCUGAGCAAUACACGGCUCAACAAGGCGCUUCUGAUGCGCAUCGAGCGCAGUAAACAGCGUGUGGCAGGCAAUGCAGGCAACGCGACACCAGCGAAGCCCAGCUCGGCGCCCGCUGGCAAACUGAGCGCUGCCGCCCAGUCGGCUGCCGGCCUGGUCGCCUGUCCCAAUACGCCGGAGUUGCCGCGUCGUGGCAUCAAGAGUGCCCCGCGUGCCGCCUCCGGUUGUGGUGCAACAAAGAUGCGCCAAUCGAUGCCGCGCGAGACCAGUCUGAGCCGGCUGGCACAGCAGGUGCCCAGCAGUCUGGCCAAUGCCAAGAAGCAGCUGCUGCAGACGGCGAAUGCGAACAGUGUCGGUGGCAGGGAGUCGCAGCAGCAGGCGCGUGUACAGCCCAAGUAUCUGGACAUAUCCAAGUACAAGUCGGCGCAAUCGAAUAGUUUUCUGCGCAAGAACGAUGCGAAGAGCACCCUCAAGCCGGCCGAGCAAAUGAAGCGCAGUCCCAGCGCCUCCUCGAUGGGUCUGACGCGUGGCGACGGCACUCGGGCCAGCAAUCGGAGUGUCCGCUCGAACACCUCGGUGAUGAACAGCAGCACCACAUCGCUGGGCGGUGGCGCCACUGGGUUGCGUGCCUCAUCCGCUGUGCGACGCGAUGCCUCAGUGAACAAACAAAAGGAGGUCGAAAUGGUCAUGUGGAAGCGACGCUCCACCUACGAUCCGAUGAAAGCGGCCGCCGAGGAUCGACGCCGCAAGGAGGAGGCACGCCGUGCCCAGACCACCCAGAACCAGAUCGAUAUGCAUCGCCAGCUGAACGAGGCGGCCAACGAUGGGGCGCCCUUCGAAAGACCAUCACGCUCACACUAUCGCCGUGGACAAUUAUGACCAAGGGAUGGUGUGCUAGUGACCGAUCUGUAACAACAACAACCUAGAAAACAACAACAACAACAUUCGACUACUACUUUCCAACAACACCACACACACACAAACACACACACACACAUAUAUUAAGCAAAGCAAUCUUCCUGCUCGAGACACUCUACUGAAAACUAUAUAUUUAACAUGGUGCGGUGCAAGGCAGCAGGCCAAAUCCAACGAAUUCUCCGGUUCCUAACUACGUAAUUAAUCUUGAUUGUGACACUAGAAGUUAAUUCCAGUGCUAAAUACUCAACAAAUCAAUGUGAACCAAUCCACCCCGCCCCGCCCCCAACCCCAAAGACAAAGCAACGAGAUUGUAUUUAUGGAUAUUAAUUCGUUGCACACACGAACGAAUCCCUUUCGAUCCAACGACAGACACAGCGACAACGAAUUGCGACGCUUUCGACGAGUUGCCAAAUUGUCCAGCGACCGGCCAACAAUAUAACCCUCACGGGCAGCAUAAACUACAGUCCAAGAAACUCAA
rnacentral:misc_RNA from 1 species